rnacentral:rRNA from 1 species
GGUUAAGCGACUAAGCGUACACGGUGGAUGCCCUGGCAGUCAGAGGCGAUGAAGGACGUGCUAAUCUGCGAAAAGCGUCGGUAAGGUGAUAUGAACCGUUAUAGCCGGCGAUGUCCGAAUGGGGAAACCCAGUGCAAUUCGUUGCACUAUCGUUAACUGAAUACAUAGGUUAACGAGGCGAACCGGGGGAACUGAAACAUCUAAGUACCCCGAGGAAAAGAAAUCAACCGAGAUUCCCCCAGUAGCGGCGAGCGAACGGGGAGCAGCCCGGAGUCUGAAUCAGCUUGUGUGUUAGUGGAAGCGUCUGGAAAGUCGCAGGGUACAGGGUGAUACUCCCGUACACUAAAAUGCACAGGUUGUGAACUCGAAGAGUAGGGCGGGACACGUGGUAUCCUGUCUGAAUAUGGGGGGACCAUCCUCCAAGGCUAAAUACUCCUGACUGACCGAUAGUGAACCAGUACCGUGAGGGAAAGGCGAAAAGAACCCCGGCGAGGGGAGUGAAAAAGAACCUGAAACCGUGUACGUACAAGCAGUAGGAGCCCACUUGUUGGGUGACUGCGUACCUUUUGUAUAAUGGGUCAGCGACUUAUAUUCUGUAGCAAGGUUAACCGUAUAGGGGAGCCGCAGGGAAACCGAGUCUUAACUGGGCGUUAAGUUGCAGGGUAUAGACCCGAAACCCGGUGAUCUAGCCAUGGGCAGGUUGAAGGUUGGGUAACACUAACUGGAGGACCGAACCGACUAAUGUUGAAAAAUUAGCGGAUGACUUGUGGCUGGGGGUGAAAGGCCAAUCAAACCGGGAGAUAGCUGGUUCUCCCCGAAAGCUAUUUAGGUAGCGCCUCGUGAACUCAUCUUCGGGGGUAGAGCACUGUUUCGGCUAGGGGGUCAUCCCGACUUACCAACCCGAUGCAAACUACGAAUACCGAAGAAUGUUAUCACGGGAGACACACGGCGGGUGCUAACGUCCGUCGUGAAGAGGGAAACAACCCAGACCGCCAGCUAAGGUCCCAAAGUCAUGGUUAAGUGGGAAACGAUGUGGGAAGGCCCAGACAGCCAGGAUGUUGGCUUAGAAGCAGCCAUCAUUUAAAGAAAGCGUAAUAGCUCACUGGUCGAGUCGGCCUGCGCGGAAGAUGUAACGGGGCUAAACCAUGCACCGAAGCUGCGGCAGCGACGCUUAUGCGUUGUUGGGUAGGGGAGCGUUCUGUAAGCCGUUGAAGGUGGCCUGUGAGGGUUGCUGGAGGUAUCAGAAGUGCGAAUGCUGACAUAAGUAACGAUAAUGCGGGUGAAAAACCCGCACGCCGGAAGACCAAGGGUUCCUGUCCAACGUUAAUCGGGGCAGGGUGAGUCGACCCCUAAGGCGAGGCCGAAAGGCGUAGUCGAUGGGAAACAGGUUAAUAUUCCUGUACUCGGUGUUACUGCGAAGGGGGGACGGAGAAGGCUAUGUUGGCCGGGCGACGGUUGUCCCGGUUUAAGCAUGUAGGCGGAUGUUCCAGGUAAAUCCGGAACGUUACUAACGCUGAGGUGUGAUGACGAGGCACUACGGUGCUGAAGUGACAAAUGCCCUGCUUCCAGGAAAAGCCUCUAAGCAUCAGGUAACAUCAAAUCGUACCCCAAACCGACACAGGUGGUCAGGUAGAGAAUACCAAGGCGCUUGAGAGAACUCGGGUGAAGGAACUAGGCAAAAUGGUGCCGUAACUUCGGGAGAAGGCACGCUGAUGGUAAGUGAAGUGACUUGCUCAUGGAGCUGAAAUCAGUCGAAGAUACCAGCUGGCUGCAACUGUUUAUUAAAAACACAGCACUGUGCAAACACGAAAGUGGACGUAUACGGUGUGACGCCUGCCCGGUGCCGGAAGGUUAAUUGAUGGGGUUAUCCGUAAGGAGAAGCUCUUGAUCGAAGCCCCGGUAAACGGCGGCCGUAACUAUAACGGUCCUAAGGUAGCGAAAUUCCUUGUCGGGUAAGUUCCGACCUGCACGAAUGGCGUAAUGAUGGCCAGGCUGUCUCCACCCGAGACUCAGUGAAAUUGAACUCGCUGUGAAGAUGCAGUGUACCCGCGGCAAGACGGAAAGACCCCGUGAACCUUUACUAUAGCUUGACACUGAACACUGGUCCUUGAUGUGUAGGAUAGGUGGGAGGCUUUGAAGUGUGGACGCCAGUCUGCAUGGAGCCAUCCUUGAAAUACCACCCUUUAAUGGCUGGUGUUCUAACGUGGGCCCGUAAUCCGGGUUGCGGACAGUGUCUGGUGGGUAGUUUGACUGGGGCGGUCUCCUCCUAAAGAGUAACGGAGGAGCACGAAGGUCAGCUAAUCCUGGUCGGACAUCAGGAGGUUAGUGCAAUGGCAUAAGCUGGCUUGACUGCGAGCGUGACGGCGCGAGCAGGUGCGAAAGCAGGUCAUAGUGAUCCGGUGGUUCUGAAUGGAAGGGCCAUCGCUCAACGGAUAAAAGGUACUCCGGGGAUAACAGGCUGAUACCGCCCAAGAGUUCAUAUCGACGGCGGUGUUUGGCACCUCGAUGUCGGCUCAUCACAUCCUGGGGCUGAAGUAGGUCCCAAGGGUAUGGCUGUUCGCCAUUUAAAGUGGUACGCGAGCUGGGUUUAGAACGUCGUGAGACAGUUCGGUCCCUAUCUGCCGUGGGCGCUGGAGAAUUGAGGGGGGCUGCUCCUAGUACGAGAGGACCGGAGUGGACGCAUCACUGGUGUUCGGGUUGUCAUGCCAAUGGCAUUGCCCGGUAGCUAAAUGCGGAAGAGAUAAGUGCUGAAAGCAUCUAAGCACGAAACUUGCCCCGAGAUGAGUUCUCCCUGACUCCUUGAGAGUCCUGAAGGAACGUUGAAGACGACGACGUUGAUAGGCCGGGUGUGUAAGCGCAGCGAUGCGUUGAGCUAACCGGUACUAAUGAACCGUGAGGCUUAACCUU